GGCUGGUUUUUUUGUGUUUGCUCUGCAUCAUGACCUUUGCUUAAUACACUAUCCUGUACUUUAUUUCUAGCCAGUACUAAACCCCAAACCCUCUAAGAAUGGUGGUGAUGCUGGGUGGAGGUCAGAAGAAGCAUUUUUUCUUUUUCCUCCAUUCUCAUAUUUUCCUAGAAAUGUGUAAAUGAGAAUGAGUAUUUGUGACCUACCAAUGAAAGGUUCUCAAAAUCACAAAUUGGAACAGGUAUUAUGGCAAUAUGCAUCAAGUUCUACUACAGUCAUGUGACUGGUUAAGGGGAUUCUGGAUCGGUGGUUUUGGAGAAGAGCUGUAGCUGCAUCACCCAGCAGAACAAAUACAUGUGAAAGGAAUACAUUCUCCCUUCAGAAGGUUUUGGAAAUGCAAACAGAAACAUGAUGAAAAUUACCCAGCUGAGCCAAGGUGAAAAAAACAUCAUGAAGUGCAUCCAAAGUGUCUCUAUUUUGGUGGCAAAACAUAAGUCAGGAUGUCCUAAAACUUCCCCUAUCCUUUCCUUUCUUGCCUUCCCCAUAUCCUUACUGUCAUUGCUACUGUCACCCAAAUUAUCCAUGUUUGGGUGACUCUGUCUUACUACAGAGGGACGAGGUCCUCUGCCCUUCCUGAACUGCAGCUGUUUUCCAGCUCUGCCAUCUUAUUCCCAUGUAGUGGUAAAGUGUGUAAAGUAAUCACCAAGUGUGAGAGAAAGUACAACAAAGAAAAAUAAAUACGUUGAGGUCAUUGUUUCAAUGCCCCUGCAGGAAGCCUGAGGUAUUGUUGAACUAGUCUGGUACUGUUCUACCCUUUAGCAUUGUUUCGGCUGUACUCAGGAGAAAUAAUCAGCAAUAUAGUAAUUUUUUUACAUUUAGAGUAUACAAAUAAUUUGUGAGUAUAAUAAAUAUUUUGUUUAUGCAGCACGUUUGAAUACAGUUUUACCUGUUUAUGAGAAAUGACUUUAUUUCACAUGUGCUUCAAAAUAUUUUGCUUUUUACAAUGCUACUAUGGAUAGAUAAUGUAUGUUGCGUGUUGAACACAAAUAUGGCAACACUUUGUGUUACAUGAUGACAAAUCAAUUUGAAUUUCUUUGCAGCUAACCAAAGCAUCAUAUCCAAAACCUUAUAUUAAAUAUGGAAUUUCUAUGGAAUUGCUAUAAAAAAUAGACCACAUCUUAUUCAGAGGUGAGUUUGGACAAUAAAAUAUAGAACGAGGUGCAGUACCUGAAACUGCUCCUCAAGGGACAAAGGCUACCCCAGCCACUGAGUAAUCAGUUGGUUCCAGAACCCACACAGCAAGGAUAAACACCUUAGUGACUGAGGAGAGAGUACCUGGGCUCCAGGGGCAUCUUCAGAGAUGGGGAUAGGAGUCAGCCUCUCCCAGGAAGCUAGUUUUGCAGGCUGUUGUCCUGUUUAUGUAAUUAAUUGCUUCUUGUUUUGCUAGUUUCAUUAACAGUCUUUUGAAAAGUUAACCCAAAACAUUUCCCUAAGAUGAACUGAUAGAAUUUCUCUUUCAGCUGUGAGAAAGACUUUUGUCAUUCAAGGCCUCAUUCAGGCCAGUAAUGGAAAUGCAAAAGCUCGGAAAGGGUUCCAGGCCCAAGAUCAGACUACCUGGCUUCCAGGGGGAGACUUUGGUUAACUGCAGCCUACAUGGAAAGGACAGAUCCCAUGCCCAUUUUACUACUUUUCUUCUCCUUUUCAGAUUAUUUUCAUGUCAUGUGUUUCUUCAUGUGAUCUGAUUUACUAGAUCUUGUUAAUCUACCUAGAAAAAUAAUUUUCUGUAUGAAAACAAUUUGCAUCUAGGAAAAUUAUUAUGCUUGUAUAGCAGUAACAUAGGGUUUUACUGCAUUCUAGCUGCACAUUACAUCUACUUGUCUAGACUCAAACCCAGCACAGACAAGUGCUGACAAUCUCCUCUAAGUGAAAUGCAUUCAUCAGAUGUACCAGCUUUGGUACACAGUGGAACUUUGGAACUUUAUACACAGUGAGAACAUCCAUGGCUUCCUUUAUAUAUGGGUGUGAAUACAUUCAUCACUCCUAAAAUUUAACCUUUGUAGAAAUCCUGCUAAUGCAACAGAGCUUUUUGUUCCCAUUCAUCUUGUGGAAGUGAACUCCAACUGGGAACACCCUGUUUUUAUGUGGAUGCCUUUCCCUUGAUGAGUUUUCUCAUAUCUCUUUGAUAUUUUCUUGAUUUCACAAUGAGUCUUCUCCUUCUUGUAUUCUGGAUUAAUAAAUAAAAUAUGUAAGAUUCUUCUUUAUGUUUUCGGCACUGUACACAAAUUUAUAUUAUCUCUCAGGUCUGUCUCCCUCUGAAUGUUGAAUUGUUGUGUCUUCAUACCCAGGCAGAGUCUUCAUACCCAGCUGCUGCUUGUCUAGUUUGUGUGGAAGGAGCACAGAUAUCUCCAGAAGGCUGUCAGGUUCCAUACAGAGGCUUUCCAGAUGAUCUCAGAUGUAUCUGCACUACAGAAGAAGAGUGACCCAGGGAUACACAGCAGCCAUUCUUCAGAAGGGAAAUGGAAUCAAAGGUCAUCAUGGCUAUUGAUGGGUGAAUUCCCAAGCACCUAGUAGAGGAAGAUGCUAUGCCUAAACUAAGCUUUCCCACACAGAUGAGCUGCAGCUGAAGAGAAUGACUGCCUGCUCCACGGACCUGUGCAUGAAGAGUUCUGAUGCUGACUUCUCAGCUUCAAGGAGCUUCUGACAAAGCUUACACCUAUAUGAUUUUGUGAGAAGGCCUUCAAAGGGGUUGAAAACACUGUGCUAUACUUUCCCCUAGAGAAUAAGCACAUAAUUUCUGCUUAUUUUAGCACUUAAGUCUACUAACAAAAAAAUCCUACUGUGGUAAAAUAGGCUGUCAUUCUCAUAGCAGGCUGACUUGAUUAAUAUAGUUGCAAAGCUUGUUUUGCAAUUCAGACCUUGUCAAACCAAAUCCAAAAUUAUUUUCCUGGAUAAAUCCAAUUAAAUAUAAAUACUGAAUCAGAGCACAUUUUAUGUAAUUACCAAGCAAUUCUGUGAAAAGACUAUUAAAGCAGCCUAAAUUGCCUCUCUUACUCUGCCAGCCCUUCCUGCUUCCCAGGGGCACCUUUCUGGAGCAGUGCUGUGUUUGGCAGGGAGGCAGGGGAUCUUCAGAGCUCCCCAUUUUGGGCUGGUUUGCUCUCCUCAGCCUUAGUACUGCUCCAAAGCGAGAAAGGAUUCCUGACAAGACAGUGUCUAAUGGAGAUGGACACCUCUCCUAUCCUCUUUUUUCAUUUGAAGUCCUCCCCUAGUUGAAUAUGCUUCUGUCAGAUCAGUCAAGGCAUCAGCAAACUUUGCUCUGUAUUUGUACAAAGACAGAAAUAUUUUAUGAUACUUGUCAUGUGCGUCUAUUUAAAUAAAAUAAAUUCUAUAAAAAUUUCCAUGGGCAA